rnacentral:rRNA from 1 species
CCCUUAGAUGUUCUGGGCCGCACGCGCGCCACACUGAUGCAUUCAACAAGCCUAGCCUUGACCGAGAGGUCCGGGUAAUCUUUGAAACUGCAUCGUGAUGGGGCUAGAUUAUUGCAAUUAUUAAUCUUCAACGAGGAAUGCCUAGUAAGCGUGAUUCAUCAAAUCGCGUUGAUUACGUCCCUGCCCUUUGUACACACCGCCCGUCGCUCCUACCGAUUGAAUGUGUUGGUGAGGAGCUCGGAUUGGCAGCAGUUGGUGGUUCGCCACCGGCUAUUGCUGAGAAGUCCUCCAAACCGCCCCAUUUAGAGGAAGGAGAAGUCGUAACA